GCUCAGAAACUCAAAUGAAUUGACGGGGCCCGCACAAGCGGUGGAGCAUGUGGUUUAAUUCGAUGAUACGCGAGGAACCUUACCUGGGCUCAAAUGUAUGUUGACGUAUUCUGAAAGGGAUACUUCUUCGGACAAUAUACAAGGUGCUGCAUGGUUGUCGUCAGCUCGUGCCGUGAGGUGUCGGGUUAAGUCCCAUAACGAGCGCAACCCCUAUCAUUAGUUGCCAUCAGGUCAAGCUGGGGACUCUAAUGAAACUGCCUACGCAAGUAGUGAGGAAGGUGGGGAUGACGUCAAAUCAGCACGGCCCUUACGUCCAGGGCUACACACGUGCUACAAUGGCCGGCACAACGGGAAGCGAGUUCGCGAGGACGAGCGGAUCCCUCAAAGCCGGUCGCAGUUCGGAUUGAAGUCUGCAACUCGACUUCAUGAAGCUGGAAUCGCUAGUAAUCGUGGAUCAGCCAAGCCGCGGUGAAUACGUUCCCGGGCCUU
rnacentral:rRNA from 1 species